GACGUAGGUGGCGAGCGUUGUUCGGAAUCACUGGGCAUAAAGCGCACGUAGGCGGCCAAGUCAGUCAGGUGUGAAAUACCUCGGCUCAACCGAGGAACUGCGCCUGAUACUGCUUGGCUUGAGGUCCGGAGGGGAGAGUGGAAUUCCCGGUGGAGCGGUGAAAUGCGUAGAGAUCGGGAAGAACGCCGGCGGCGAAGGCGGGUUGCUGGGCCGACACUGACGCUGAGGCGCGAAAGCCAGGGGAGCGAACGGG
rnacentral:rRNA from 1 species